ensembl:lncRNA
GAGCAAAACCGCUGAGCGCAGCGCUGAGCACGGGGGGGCGCGCCUGUCCCAUCCACUGCCACCAACACGGCCACCUGUCCCCUCCCCGACACUUGUCGGGUCCCAGCGGACCCUCCAAAACACGGCCCUUAGGGGGCGUUUGGACCAUCGCUUCCUGUUGCUUACGGCACUUGGGUACGAGAAAUGCAGCGGUUCGGGGUCUUUGUGACAAAGAGGGGGUCGGAAACGGGGCUUCCCCUAAGGGGACAGGGCUGUGACCGUGUUUUCCCGUGGUAUCGAUGAUGACAGAUGGGACCCCCAUGCCAAAGGGGCUCUUCCCCAUGACACAUAUGUAGGAUCCUUCCAGCCCAACGUGGGCAUUACGCUGUCAGUUUCCACCUGUGGGGCUUUCUUCAUUCCGCGCCCCUAUGAGCAGGGUGACUAAAGACCACCCCAUCACACUUCCCCCCCAAAAUCACACUUUACGUAGCGGGAGAUGCUGGGAAAACCCCAUUCUGGGGGUGAAAACUUCGCCCCCACACAGCCCACAGAACCCAGAUGUGUGGAAAACCCCCAUUGCCUCCCGGGGAUCUGGAGCAGCCGGUGCUGGGAGUGCAGUGAUUUAUCACAGGGGAGGACAAAUCAAUGCCCUACACCAAACCUGCAACCCAUACCCUGACCCAAAGUCAAUGGGAGCAGCAUUUUCUGAUGGACUUUUUGCUUCUUGUGGGCACGAGUAGUUUCUCUGGUACCCAAAGGGAUGCUGUGGGUGCAAGUGGUUUCCCUGGUACCCAUAGGGAUGGUGUGGGUACACGGAGCAUCUGGUACCCAAAGGGAUGCUGUGGGUACAGGUGGUAACAAAGGGAUGCUGUUGGUGAAGAUGGUACCCAAAGGGAUGCUGUGGAUACAGAGAGCAUCUGGUACCCAAAGGGAUGCUGCGGGUACAGGUAGAAUCCCCGGUACCCAAAGGGAUGCUGUAGGUGCAGGUGGUGCCCAAAGGGAUGCUGUGGGUGCAGGUGGCAUCCCUGGUAUCCAAAAGGAUGUUGUCGGUGCAGGUAGUAUCCCUGGUGCCCAAAGGGAUGCUGUGGGUGCAGGUAGUAUCCCUGGUACCCAAUGGGAUGCUGUAGGUGCAGGUAGUAUCCCUGGUACCCAAUGGGAUGCUGUAGGUGCAGGUGGUGCCCAAAGGGAUGCUGUGGGUGCAGGUGGCAUCCCUGGUAUCCAAAAGGAUGCUAUGGGUGCAGGUAGUAUUCCUGGUAUCCAAAGGGAUGCUGUGGGUGCAGGUGGCAUCCCUGGUACCCAAAAGGAUGUUGUGGGUGCAAGUAGUAUCCCUGGUGCCCAAAGGAAUGCUGUGGGUGCAGGUGGUGCCCAAAGGGAUGCUGUGGGUGCAGGUGGUGCCCAAAGGGAUGCUGUGGGUGCAGGUGGUGCCCAAAGGGAUGCUGUGGGUGCAGGUGGCAUCCCUGGUACCCAAAGGGAUGCUGUAGGUGCAGGUGGUGCCCAAAGGGAUGCUGUGGGUGCAGGUGGCAUCCCUGGUAUCCAAAAGGAUGCUGUGGGUGCAGGUAGUAUUCCUGGUACCCAAAGGGAUGCUGUGGGUGCAGGUGGCAUCCCUGGUACCCAAUGGGAUGUUGUGGGUAGAGAUAGCACCUGAUAUCCAAAGAGGUGCUGUGGGUGCAGGUAGUAUUCCUGGUACCCAAAGGGAUGCUGUAGGUGCAGAGAGCAUCUGGUACCCAAAGGGAUGCUGAGGUUGCAGGUGGCAACCCUGGUACCCAAUGGGAUGCUGUGGGCACAGGUGGUGUCCCUGGUACCCAAAGGGAUGCUGUGGGUGCAGGUGGCAUCCCUAGCACCCAAAGGCAUGCAGACCAUCCCUCAGGGUCUGUACACGUCGCCAGCUGUGCACACACACAGGGCAUGCACUCAGAGCCUGAUUUUGCAGGGUUUCUCACAGAAGCUCACCUUUGCAGGACUUCCUGGGUCAAUUGCCUGCAGCGAGCCCUGCACGCAGAGCAGCCCCAAGGCUGCACACAAGGUUGCAGCACGGAUGAUGCCUGCAGCAGGCGCCAGCUCCAUCCUGCAGCCCCGCAGCCCUCCAAAAGCUGCACUGCUCUUCGCAUCCGGCCGCCCUUUGAUAGCACAGCAGGAAGCCAGCAGCGCUCAGCCUUCUUGCAAACCUACCCACAUUCAAAUAAAUCUCCCCAAAAUAACCCAUAGGAACAAUGUGCCAUAGCCGGGGUGAGGUGCCGAGCGCUCACUUUCACACUUUCCACCACAUUUUCCCUCUGCAGCCCCCCAAUGGGCCGCUCUCCCCACGUGCUUUCUCAGCAAGCUUUCUGCUCGUAGAACAGAGUGGUGGCGGUGGGGGGGGGGGGAAGCACAGCUAGGAAGGAAAAAGCUCAACGCUUUUUUUCCAUUUUUAGGAAAUUUAGGGUUGGUUCCUCCCCCCCCUUUCAUCCCUUUGCUCUGUGAGCACGGGGAAGGGCACAUGAAACUCGAAAGGGCUGCAAUGCAGCUCCGCAUUCCCGUUUCUCUCGGCCAUCCCCGCCUCCUUUCUUGCCUUCACACUUCUCCUUUUAGCUCGGGCUCGCUUCUCCUUCCCAGCAUCACGGUGCUGCCGUCACAUAUGGUGCUGCCGGGACGUCUGCUGCCAAGCCCCAGAGUGAGAGAGAACGAAGCAGCAGGGCAGGGGAGCCUUCCAUAGCGAGCUGGCACCCGAGCAAUGAUAACACCCAGAUAUUUCCC